UACUGGAUGCUCAGAUAGCAGUUGAGUUUAAGAGUAUUUUUUUUCAUUUGUGCUUGGACAAAGGAGUAUGACCUUUUACUUUGGACGUGGACCUUGCUAUAUCCAUCCUUUUUUUCACCUUGAAUCUUGACUACUAUAAUGUUUUCUACUUGGAGUUAAAUCAGACCAUUCAGAAUCUAAAGCUAGUGUAGGACAUGCCAGCCUGCAUUUUAAGCAAAGCUUCAUACUGAGAACACAUAACACUCGUGUUCUGUGAUCUGCAUGUGUGCUUCUGAGUAGAAUUCAAGGUGUUUAUACCUUAAAAACCUAAAUAGGUCUAACUUAUCUGAACGACGCCUCUCUCUCCCACUUCCAUGCUGCUACAGUUGGCUGAUAUCCACCUGGGCUGGAACUUUUCUGAUGUAAGAGAAGGAGCUGUUGGUAUGGCGUGGACCCUUCAACUCUGGAAUGCACUGUCUUCACAAAGCUGAACCUUUUGAACACUCUGCAAAUGAAGACCACUGAGAAGACAGUAGCAGCCCAACUACAGCAGAGGUGGGGAAACUACGGCCUGCGGGACCAUCCUACCCUGCCUUUGAGCUCCUGGACAGAGAGGGUAACCCCUAGUCCCUCCCCCGCUGUCUCCCCUCCCCUGCAGCCUCAGCGCACCUCGUGGGCAGCAAACUCCUGCCGCUCUAAGCGGCAUGGGAUCUCUAGUCCACAGGAAUCAGUCGCAUUACUCCUUAUGUUCAUAUACAUGAAGCCGCUGUGGGAGACUAUGAGAUACCAUAGAUCAGCGUCACCACCAAUAUUCUUAUGAUAUUCAGAUCUACGUCUCCUUUUCUUCAUUUACAGAUAGAACUGUUUCGGCACUCCAAAAGCACUUGCCAGAUAUAAGAAUAAAAUGCUUGUGGACAGAGGAAAUACUUUGUGUCUCUGCUAGUUAGUAAAGCUGAAAACUAAAUUGAGGACAUCCAUCUAUCAAUUGCUUAAAGUGGUUCCAAUCUUACUGGAUACAGCUCUGUUCCCAGAUAGCAACAAUGGUCUGAUACACCUUCUCUUAUCUUCAGCUGGCCAAUAAACUGCAACCUCUCUCAGAAGUGGAAUUUGCUAUAGUUACCCAUGCUGUUGUCACUUCAAGGCUGACAAAUGUAGUAAGUGCUAUAUCACCCUACCCUUGAAGGCCACUUGGAAACUUCAGUCACUGCAUAAUAUUAUUGCUCGUAUCUUGUGCAACAGAGAUGAAUGAGAAAAUAUUAUACUUGCGUUUCAUACUGACUAGCAAGUCACUUUCAUGUGCAAUUCAAAGUGCUGUGGUUUGACGGAUUUGUUUUUGUUUUUUUAAUUUAGAGAGCCCCAUUUUUAUCCAAUCACAACAUUUAUAUAUUGUCUAUCCUACAGGUUUUACUGCAUGAGUCUGGCACGAAAGUCCCAGUUGGCCAUUCUUGGCUCUGGAAUUCACUCCAUAUUUUUGGGCAGGCCUGCAAAAUAUUUUUGACACCCCUUUCCAAACUCAACUGAUGUAUUUUCUCUAUUUGCACAGCUAGUGUUCUGUCCCUUUUUUCAAGGACAUGUUUGCAGGAAAAAGCUACCAAAGUACUUUCAAAAUAGAAAUAAUUAAAAUGGAGGUUGUCCUUUGCAUUUAUAGUUCCUCUAAAAUAGGAGGACCUCUAGAAGCAGGCUUUUCAGGACCCCACGUUGGCUCUGACCAUCAGAAAUCCAUCUAAACCCAAGUCUAGCAACUUAGAAAGUAAGUCUAUACUGCAAAGAAAAACCACAGUGCUGAGUCUCAGAGCCAGGUCAAUUGACUCAGGCUUGUGCUGUGGGACUAAAAAUAG